AUCUUGUGAGCCGUUCUCCAUAUUUCAGACAUAAGAUUUCAGUUCUCAGUGAGUCUAAGUGACAGAAGGAAUGGAGACCCUCUUGGGCCUGCUCAUCCUUUGGCUGCAGCUGCAAUGGGUGAGCAGCAAACAGGAGGUGACACAGAUUCCUGCAGCUCUGAGUGUCCCAGAAGGAGACAACUUGGUUCUCAACUGCAGUUUCACUGAUAGUGCUAUUUACAACCUCCAGUGGUUUAGGCAGGACCCUGGGAAAGGUCUCACAUCUCUGUUGAUUAUUCAGUCAAGUCAGAGAGAGCAAACAAGUGGAAGACUUAAUGCCUCGCUGGAUAAAUCAUCAGGACGUAGUACUUUAUACAUCGCAGCUUCUCAGCCUGGUGACUCAGCCACCUACCUCUGUGCUUGUAAAUACCGGCACUGCCGGUAAACUCACCUUUGGGACUGGAACAAGACUUCAGGUCACGCUUGGUA